GAUGAACGCUGGCGGCGUGCCUAACACAUGCAAGUCGAACGAAGCACUUAAGCGGAGCCCUUCGGGGUGAAGCGUAAGUGACUGAGUGGCGGACGGGUGAGUAACGCGUGGGCAACCUGCCUCAUACCGGGGGACAACGGCUGGAAACGGCCGCUAAUACCGCAUAAGCGCACAGAGGGACAUCCCUCAGUGUGAAAAACUCCGGUGGUAUGAGAUGGGCCCGCGUCCGAUUAGCUAGUUGGCGGUGUAACGGACCACCAAGGCGACGAUCGGUAGCCGGCCUGAGAGGGCGGACGGCCACAUUGGGACUGAGACACGGCCCAGACUCCUGCGGGAGGCAGCAGUGGGGGAUAUUGCACAAUGGGGGAAACCCUGAUGCAGCGACGCCGCGUGAGUGAAGAAGUAUUUCGGUAUGUAAAGCUCUAUCAGCAGGGAAGAAAAUGACGGUACCUGACUAAGAAGCCCCGGCUAAUUACGUGCCAGCCGCCGCGGUAAAAC
rnacentral:rRNA from 1 species